rnacentral:rRNA from 1 species
CCUACGGGUGGCAGCAGUGGGGAAUAUUGGGCAAUGGGCGCAAGCCUGACCCAGCAACGCCGCGUGAAGGAAGACGGCUUUCGGGUUGUAAACUUCUUUUAUCAGGGACGAAGAAAGUGACUGUACCUGGAGAAUAAGCCACGGCUAAAUACGUGCCAGCAGCCGCGGUAAUGCGUAGGUGGCGAGCGUUAUCCGGAUUUAGUGGGUGUAAAGGGCGCGUAGGCGGGAAUGCAAGUCAGAUGUGAAAUCCAAGGGCUUAACCCAGAGACUGCAGUUGACACUGUGUUUCUUGAGUGUAGGAGAGGUAGGCGGAAUGCCGGGUGUAGCGGUGAAAUGCGUAGAUAUUAGGAGGAACACCGGUGGCGAAGGCGGACUGCCGGACUCUAACUGACGCUGAGGCGCGAAAGCGUGGGGAGCAAACAGGAUUAGAUACCCGUGUAGUC